GAGAAAGAUUGCUGGUGAGGAGCUCUGUCAAUAUCCGAAGCUGCUGCUGAGGCUUUGAUCAAGUAGGGAGCUUCAGAGAUGGUUGAUGGCUUCACUGGAGCCAGGGCAGAGACUAUUGCUGUGCCUGUAACUGACUGAAGUGGGCCUGCAGUGAAGAAACUGUGAGUAACCCCAGCUCUGGUUUGAGAAAGUACUUUAAAAGGAAGGGGCACAGCAGAGAGACUGAGUCUGAGGAGAGGCAGAGUGAUCUUCCAAUCAAAUCACGACCAAGAGCUGCUAGCAUUUGGUGGGGCCAACUCCAGUCGUCAGAGGGGUUGUGCAGAUUGUUGCCUAGGUGGGACUGAUGCACAGAACCAACAGAGUGCUGUCUCCAGCUGCAGAUCUUGAAGCGCGCUUAUGCAAGCAAGUGCCUAGGACUCUGAAAUCCAGUGGGGUAUAUGGUGGCAGUGUAAAUGCUACUAAGAUAAAUUUAAUUUACCACUGUAUACUAUAUUCAUUAAUUGAUUUUAUUCAACUGCCCCUUGUGGAUUAAAAUUAGUAGUGACAUUUAAUCUUAGUCUGUUAUUAGGGUGACGCCAGAGUCUGCACACCCAGCUGGAACCCUCACCUCCUCCUGCACCCUGAACCCCUCAUUUCUGGCCCCACCCAGAGCCUGCACCCCCUCCCACACACCAGCCCCUCGCCCUAGCCGAGUGACAGUGAGUGAGGGUUGGGGGAGAGUGAGCCACCAUGGGAGGAGGAAUGUAGGUGUGUUCCCAAGAGACACCAUUGAGUGUGUAUAGGGGCCAGCCAGGUGGACGCACCACCAAUUUUAAAUUCCUUUAGGAGUAAAGAGACUGAAGUAGAUAGGUGGAUAGAGGAUUCCCACCUAUCCAAAAUCACCACUGGGAAACUCAGGGUCUCUUUUAAUGUUAACAACAUCAGGUGCCCAGGCACACAAGUGAAUGUUGCCUGCUUUCGAGUAAGCCAGGGAGGAAGUGGGGGCAUACACAUGUAUUUUGUUCUUUUCUUACAGGAAGACGAAUUAUCUACUUGUAUUAUAAAGGAUACCCUUAUAACUCAGCUUAGAUUAGAAAGGGAUGCUGCAAGGUGCCACCUUCCCAGUGGUUGGCUUGUCAACAGCCAAGCUGUCUCUUCUUCCAGCCACAAAAGCAGUCAUCUCAUUGAAAGGAUCAGCAAAGCCUCAGGCUGCUGGUGCGCACAGGGACAGAAGAAUAGAUCCAUCUCCUCAACCUUACCAGCAGUCUCCCUCAGGGAAGAAGGGCCAUGGAGGGAAGAGGAAGAAAGGAGGUUUCUGAAUGGAAACGGAAUGGGUUGGACCUUGGAAGAAGGGAGAGAGUAAUGAGGAGGGUCUUAAAAUGGCAGCUGAAUACACGGUGGGAGAAGCAAAGGGAGCAGAGUGAGUAGACUAAGGGAAAUAAAGGGGAAUAGGC
rnacentral:lncRNA from 1 species